UUUUGGAGAUGAUGAUUUUCAGAGGCUGUUUCUGAGGAUGAGCCUAGAGCCUGUCCUACGCUGUAAAACAACUGAUUUGCCUGUCUGAUCCAAAG